AGUGACCAGAAGACAAGAAUGUGAGCUUUCUGUGAUGCCCGGGCAGGGCCACCAGAGGGCUCCUUGGUCUAGUGGUAAUGCCA
rnacentral:miRNA from 1 species